AGUGGGAUAGCUGGGUCAAAUGCUGAUUUUCCUAGGAAUCUCCAUACUACUUUCCAGAUUGGCUGCCCAAUUUGCAGUCCCACCAGCAAU
rnacentral:pre_miRNA from 1 species